GACAGAGGGUGCAAACGUUGCUCGGAAUUACUGGGCGUAAAGCGCGUGUAGGCGGGAAGAUAAGUCGGGUGUGAAAUCCCUGGGCUCAACCUAGGAACUGCAUUCGAAACUGUCUUUCUGGAGUGAUGGAGAGGAAAGCGGAAUUCCCGGUGUAGAGGUGAAAUUCGUAGAUAUCGGGAGGAACACCAGUGGCGAAAGGCGACUGCCUGGACGACACCUGACGCUGAGG
rnacentral:rRNA from 1 species